rnacentral:rRNA from 1 species
CCAGUUUUGCUCCAAGGACCAAUCGACACGACCGUACCGCAAACCGACACUGGUGCGCGAGAUGAGUAUUCUAAGGCGCUUGAGAGAACUCAGGAGAAGGAACUCGGCAAAUUGACACCGUAACUUCGGAAGAAGGUGUGCCUUUAGUAGGUGAAGUCCCUCGCGGAUGGAGCCCAAUGAGGUUGCAAAAAAUCGGUGGCUGCGACUGUUUAUUAAAAACACAGCACUCUGCAAACACGAAAGUGGACGUAUAGGGUGUGACGCCUGCCCGGUGCUGGAAGAUUAAAUGAUGGGGUGCAAGCUCUUGAUUGAAGUCCAGUAAACGGCGGCCGUAACGAUAACGGUCCUAAGGUAGCGAAAUUCCUUGUCGGGUCAGUUCCGACCUGCACGAAUGGCGUAACGAUGGCCACACUGUCUCCUCCUGAGACUCAGCGAAGUUGAAAUGUUUGUGAUGAUGCAAUCUCCCCGCGGAAAGACGGAAAGACCCCAUGAACCUUUACUGUAGCUUUGUAUCGGACUUUGAACAGAUCUGUGUAGGAUAGGUGGGAGGCUUUGAAGCAGGGUCGCUAGAUCUUGUGGAGCCAACGUUGAAAUACCACCCUGGUGUGUUUGAGGUUCUAACCUAGGCCCGUAAUCCGGGUUGGGGACAGUGCAUGGUAGGCAGUUUGACUGGGGCGGUCUCCUCCCAAAGUGUAACGGAGGAGUUCGAAGGUACGCUAGUUACGGUCGGACAUCGUGACGAUAGUGCAAUGGCAUAAGCGUGCUUAACUGCGAGACUGACAAGUCGAGCAGAUGCGAAAGCAGGACAUAGUGAUCCGGUGGUUCUGUAUGGAAGGGCCAUCGCUCAACGGAUAAAAGGUACUCUGGGGAUAACAGGCUGAUACCGCCCAAGAGUUCAUAUCGACGGCGGUGUUUGGCACCUCGAUGUCGGCUCAUCUCAUCCUGGGGCUGUAGCCGGUCCCAAGGGUAUGGCUGUUCGCCAUUUAAAGAGGUACGUGAGCUGGGUUUAAAACGUCGUGAGACAGUUUGGUCCCUAUCUUCCGUGGGCGCUGCAGAUUUGAGGAAGCCUGCUCCUAGUACGAGAGGACCGGAGUGGACGCACCUCUGGUGUAUCGGUUGUCACGCCAGUGGCAUUGCCGAGUAGCUAUGUGCGGAAGAGAUAACCGCUGAAAGCAUCUAAGCGGGAAACUCGUUUCAAGAUGAGAUCUGCCGGGGCCUUGAGCCCCCUGAAGAGUCGUUCAAGACCAGGACGUUGAUAGGUCGGGUGUGGAAGCGCAGUAAUGCGUUAAGCUAACCGAUACUAAUUGCUCGUGCGGCUUGACCU